rnacentral:rRNA from 1 species
AUGAUGUCCUUGUUUGGAACUCUUGUCUCUGUCCUCAGAUUCCCCAACACCUAUUUGCUGGUGGGCUGCUGCAGCGACGAGGUCACGCAGUGGUACAAGGGCAAGACAGUCAUGACCGAGGAGGAGCGCUACGAAUCGCUUCGCCAUUGCAAGCAUUUUAUCUCACUCUUUUUUUUUUGGCUCAAAAUCUCGUCCUUUUUAGCAAUGCUGUUAGAGUACCUAAUGGGCCUAACGGGCCCAUUAGUCUUAGGGUUAAUUAGAGAUAAGGGUCGCUUGCUUAGAGGUCAAGUAAGCCUUGCUUGGAAGAUGUAUCAAUCUAAUCAAGUAAGAAUUAAGAAGGAAAUCCCUUCCCUCUUGCCUGCCCAUGGGCAAAAGGCCCCCGCCGGCCCUCUCGCGUCCUCCUUCUAG